GACGAACGCUGGCGGCGUGCUUAACACAUGCAAGUCGAACGGUAAGGCCCUUCGGGGUACACGAGUGGCGAACGGGUGAGUAACACGUGGGUGAUCUGCCCUGCACUUCGGGAUAAGCCUGGGAAACUGGGUCUAAUACCGGAUAGGACUCCGGACUGCAUGGUCUGGGGUGGAAAGCUUUUGCGGUGUGGGAUGGGCCCGCGGCCUAUCAGCUUGUUGGUGGGGUGAUGGCCUACCAAGGCGACGACGGGUAGCCGGCCUGAGAAGGUGACCGGCCACACGGGGACGGAGAUACGGCCCAGACUCCUACGGGAGGCAGCAGUGGGGAAUAUUGCACAAUGGGCGCAAGCCUGAUGCAGCGACGCCGCGUGAGGGAUGGCGGCCUUCGGGUUGUAAACCUCUUUCAGCAUCGACGAAGCGAAAGUGACGGUAGGUGCAGAAGAAGGACCGGCCAACUACGUGCCAGCAGCCGCCGUAA
rnacentral:rRNA from 1 species